AUUGAACGCUGGCGGCAGGCUUAACACAUGCAAGUCGAGCGGAGCGAGGGUGCUUGCACCUUAGCUUAGCGGCGGACGGGUGAGUAAUGCUUAGGAAUCUGCCUAUUAGUGGGGGACAACAUUCCGAAAGGAAUGCUAAUACCGCAUACGCCCUACGGGGGAAAGCAGGGGAUCUUCGGACCUUGCGCUAAUAGAUGAGCCUAGGUCGGAUUAGCUAGUUGGUGGGGUAAAGGCCUACCAAGGCGACGAUCUGUAGCGGGUCUGAGAGGAUGAUCCGCCACACUGGGACUGGGACACGGCCCAGACUCCUACGGUAGGCAGCAGUGGUGAAUAUUGGACAAUGGGCGGAAGCCUGAUCCAGCCAUGCCGCGUGUGUGAAGAAGGCCUUUUGGUUGUAAAGCACUUUAAGCGAGGAGGAGGCUACUUAGAUUAAUACUCUGGGAUAGUGGACGUUACUCGCAGAAUAAGCACCGGCUAACUCUGUGCCAGCCGCCGCCGUAAUAC
rnacentral:rRNA from 1 species